GACGAACGCUGGCGGCGUGCUUAACACAUGCAAGUCGAACGGAAAGGCCCUGCAUAUGUGGGGUGCUAGAGAGGCGAACGGGUGAGUAACAAGUGAGUAACCUGCCGUUGACAAUGGGAUAAAUUCAGGAAAAUGGGGCUAAUAACGGAUAGGAGAUACUGCUGCAAGGCGGGGGUUGGAAAGUUUCGGCGGUUGGGGAUGGACUCGCGGCUUAUCAGCUUGUUGGUGGUGAAGUGGCUUACCAAGGCUUUGACGGGUAGCCGGCCUGAGAGUGUGACCGGCCACAGUGGGACUGAGACUCGGCCAAGACUCCUACGGGAGCCAGCAGUGGGAAAUAGGGCACAAUGGGCGGAAGCCUGAUGCAGCAACGCCGCGUGCGGGAUGACGGCCUUCGGGUUGUAAACCGCUUUCGCCUGGGACGAAGCGUGAGUGACGGUAAUGGGUAAAGAAGCACCGGCUAACUACGUG
rnacentral:rRNA from 1 species